UACGAAGGGGGCUAGCGUUGUUCGGAAUUACUGGGCGUAAAGCGCACGUAGGCGGAUACUUAAGUCAGGGGUGAAAUCCCGGGGCUCAACCCCGGAACUGCCUUUGAUACUGGGUAUCUCGAGUCCGGAAGAGGUGAGUGGAAUUCCGAGUGUAGAGGUGAAAUUCGUAGAUAUUCGGAGGAACACCAGUGGCGAAGGCGGCUCACUGGUCUGGUACUGACGCUGAGGUGCGAAAGCGUGGGGAGCAAACAGG
rnacentral:rRNA from 1 species